UACGGAGGGGGCUAGCGUUGUUCGGAAUUACUGGGCGUAAAGCGCGCGCAGGCGGUCCUUUAAGUCUGAUGUGAAAGCCCACGGCUCAACCGUGGAGGGUCAUUGGAAACUGGGGGACUUGAGUGCAGAAGAGGAAAGCGGAAUUCCACGUGUAGCGGUGAAAUGCGUAGAUAUCUGGAGGAACACCGGUGGCGAAGGCGGCAUCCUGGACCAACACUGACGCUGAGGAGCGAAAGCCAGGGGAGCAAACGGG
rnacentral:rRNA from 1 species